UAGCUCAGUGGUAAGAGUUCUUGCCUAGUAUGUAUGAAGUCCUGGGUUCAAACCCUAG
rnacentral:tRNA from 1 species